rnacentral:lncRNA from 1 species
UUUUUUCAACUUAAUUUUUAGAAAGUGUGCAAAAUUUGAGUUAAGAUCAAUGGUUCAUUUAUUAGUUAUUGAGGUUUAAAUCUAUUAUAGGAUUUAGGAUUUGGUUUAGGAUUUGAUUAGGGUUUGGUUUAGGAUUUAGGAUUUUUUUUAGGAUUUUUUUAGGGUUUGGUUAGAAUUUUAUUUAGGGUUUGGUUAGGAUUUGGUUUAGAGUUUAAGAUUUAGUUAAGAUUUGAUUUAGGAUUUAGGAUUUGGUUUAGGAUUUGGUUUAGGAUUUAAGAUUUAGUUAGAGUUUGAUUUAGGAUUUAGGAUUUUUUUAGAGAUUGGUUAGAGUUUGGUUUAGGAUUUGGUUAGGAUUUGAUUUAGGAUUUAGGAUUUGAUUUAGGAUUUAGGAUUUUAUUAGGAUUUUUUUAGGGUUUAAGUUUUAAUUAGUUUUGGCCUAAAGUUUGAAUGAAGUCCAAUAAGAUUUUAACUAGGAUUAAAUUAAGAUUGAAUUGAGAUGUAUUUGAGAUAUAUUUAUGAUCAUUCUAAUAUUUCUUUAAGAUUUCUAAUUUUUUCUUUGAAAUUUCUUUGAGGUUUCUUUGAAUUUGAUUAAAGCUUACUUAGCAUUAUUAUGGUCUAAUUAGAGUUUAAUUAGUAUUUUAUUAGAGUUAAGAUUUUUUUGUUGCAAUUUCCAUUCUACUUUCCAUAGCUAGGUACCCGAAGCAUUCUUAAGCAAGACUUCAUGUAUUACGACAACCGACAUAAAGUACUUAAAGUUCUUGUGAUCUAUAUAUAUAAUG